CCUACGGGGGGCUGCAGUGAGGAAUAUUGGUCAAUGGACGAGAGUCUGAACCAGCCAAGUAGCGUGAAGGAUGACUGCCCUAUGGGUUGUAAACUUCUUUUAUAAAGGAAUAAAACGAGGCACGUGUGCCUUUUUGCAUGUACUUUAUGAAUAAGGAUCGGCUAACUCCGUGCCAGCAGCCGCGGUAAGACGGAGGAUCCGAGCGUUAUCCGGAUUUAUUGGGUUUAAAGGGAGCGUAGAUGGGUUGUUAAGUCAGUUGUGAAAGUUUGCGGCUCAACCGUAAAAUUGCAAUUGAUACUGGCAGUCUUGAGUACAGUUGAGGUAGGCGGAAUUCGUGGUGUAGCGGUGAAAUGCUUAGAUAUCACGAAGAACCCCGAUUGCGAAGGCAGCUUACUAAACUGUGACUGACAUUGAUGCUCGAAAGUGUGGGGAUCAAACAGGAUUAGAUACCCUGGUAGUC
rnacentral:rRNA from 1 species